rnacentral:rRNA from 1 species
GAUGAACGCUGGCGGCGUGCCUAAUACAUGCAAGUCGAGCGAACAGACGAGGAGCUUGCUCCUCUGGCGUUAGCGGCGGACGGGUGAGUAACACGUGGAUAACCUACCUAUAAGACUGGGAUAACUUCGGGAAACCGGAGCUAAUACCGGAUAAUAUAUUGAACCGCAUGGUUCAAUAGUGAAAGACGGUUUUGCUGUCACUUAUAGAUGGAUCCGCGCCGCAUUAGCUAGUUGGUAAGGUAACGGCUUACCAAGGCAACGAUGCGUAGCCGACCUGAGAGGGUGAUCGGCCACACUGGAACUGAGACACGGUCCAGACUCCUACGGGAGGCAGCAGUAGGGAAUCUUCCGCAAUGGGCGAAAGCCUGACGGAGCAACGCCGCGUGAGUGAUGAAGGUCUUCGGAUCGUAAAACUCUGUUAUUAGGGAAGAACAAAUGUGUAAGUAACUAUGCACGUCUUGACGGUACCUAAUCAGAAAGCCAUGGCUAACUACGUG